CUUGUACACCUACAAGGCUCCCCAUACAUAAGUGAUUAGCCACUGUGUGGUAUACCAGGUCGGGCUGAUCCAGCAUACUGUUUUUGCAUGUCUAUAGUUCAUUUUGAGGUGCAAGAGGAUCUCUUCAUUGUAAUAUAGAACAUGGGCUCCUUGAAAUAAAGUAGGAUCCCCAUAUCCACGAGAUAAGUAUCUGCUGAUUCACUUAUCCACAGUCUGAAAAUGUUAAAAGAAAAAUCCUAGAAAUAUAUAUUUCUAAAGAUGAAUUUACCAGAGCCAUCCAUUAGAGGGAAUCAGAGAUCAUGCUAGCUAUGGUGUUUGCUAUUAAAAUGGCAUUUGCCAUAAUCUGCAUUUAUCAGGAAGCCGGCUGGGAACCAAACCCCAUGGAUAUGGGAUUCUUACUAUAAAGAGUUAUAUUGGCUCAUACAAUUUCUCUAUCAGUCUGAUAUUUUCCUUCUGGCAGUAACACGAAUGGAUAUUUCCUUAGUCAAAUAUAUUUUUCUUCCAGAUGAAACUGCAGCAGCAGUUGUAGCUGACACCCUGCUCUCUCACGAAGUUUGAGGAAGCAUUUCUUGACAAGAUUCACAGUGAAAGAAGGGAUUAAGAGCCCAGUAUUCAAAUCUGGUUCCCCGGAAAGUGCUGGUGGCUUCAAUCAAGCUCUGGAAGACAUUUAAAAGCUGGGCAGACUUAGGUAUGCUAGUGAAGUACUAUAGAUACAGGAGGAAUAAAAAGAAUUGGAGUGAAACUCAUACAUUCAGUGGACCUCAGGUAACCAGAAGGGCUGUUUUUGUUGCUCAGAAAGACACUCAGAAAGAAAAACAAUCCACAUUUGGAUUUGUCUUCCCCACCCCAUAGGAGACUCAUGCGUCUAAGGAUACAGUUCUCCCCGAAAACAUGGCAGCGGAAAACCCCUCGUGUCAAGAGCCGUGGUUCCCAGCCAUUGUCCGUCAAAAUGUUUUGGAUUUCAAUUCCCAGAAUUCAUGCACUGACGCAAGAACACGAAGCUUGGACAGAGCUUGUUCUUACUGGGCCUCAAAGUCUUCUAGUUUAGGCCUUUUUCUCUAAGGUGCAUCACACGGAUGAGCUUGUAGGGUGUCCAUAUUGUAGGUAGAACUCCAGGAACGGAGAUUUAUGGUGUUGGUAGUCCAAAAAUCCCAU
rnacentral:lncRNA from 1 species